rnacentral:lncRNA from 1 species
CUGGAGUGUGUCUCCAGAGUCCCUACAAGAAGCUUUUAACAGGAAAUUUACAAACUCAUGGAGAGCAAUACGCAGUCAGGGAAGAAAAGUGGGUUGGCAUUUCCUGAGGGCAAGUUAUACCUGGGACAAUGUCAAGAGAUGGAGGAAGCUGAAGUAGUGAAAGCGAACAGUGUUACAGUGAAAAAUUGAGGGUUUUAUUUUAAAUGGGUCAUUGUAAUCUUUGGAAUAACAGGGUUUUAUCUCAAUGUUAGAAUGUUCUCUAGGAUCAUGGAGACUGGGAUACAAGAUGACUGAAGUGGAGGUGAAAAGACCUGGCAAAGGGAGUACCUGCAAUAACACAAGUGAGAGAAACACUGGAAACGUGGUUGGAGAGAAGCUGAAGUCAUCAAAUUGCAGUUAUUUAGGAACAGCUGCUGCCUGCUUCAAGCGUGCUGAGUGUCAAG